rnacentral:tRNA from 1 species
GUGGGGAUAGCUCAGUGGUAAAGCACAUGCUUAGCAUGCACGAGGUCCUGAGUUCAAUCCCCAGUACCUCCA